rnacentral:misc_RNA from 1 species
GACACAUUGGCAAGCACAGCUUCAUCAACUAACUUUAUAUUUUUCCGAAAAAAAAAGAAAUUGACAAUUUUCUUCUGUUUUGAAAAGCUUGGUAGAACAUUGUAUACAUAUGUCAGGAGCGAUUUAAGUAUUUUUCUGCACUAAUUAUACAUGUAACUUUAGCACCUCGAGGAUUCGUUGUUUUUUUUUUUCCUACAAAAGGAGCUAAUGAUGCUGCAACUCCAGCUUCUCAUGGCUGCAAUGAAACUGAUGGUCGAUCUUCUGGCUUUUCAACAAGCUUACAUCUUGAAGGUGGACCAAAC